CAGUCACUCGUCCAGCAUAUAUUUAUUGAGUGUUUAUUAUGUGCCGGAUGCUGGAGUGACAAAAAAAUGAACAAGAUGUAGAUCCGGCCUUCAAGUGUAGCUGGUGAUUUUCCACAAAACCCUCUAUUAUUGUAUCUUAACAUCCAGGAGUCAGCCAGGAGUUACACUGAUCAUAAAUCGAUAACCUCAUUUCAAAGCUCAAACACAGAGAUGGCAAAUAAAGCCCUGGGCAGCACUGACUGAAGCAACAGAUGACUCAUUAAUAGCAGGAGGCAAUGAAUAACUUUGCCACUGAGAGUGAAAGAAAAUUCCCCCUUUGCACAAUGCCUUUCACUUAAAUAGCAUUUGGAUUUCUUAAAAUCCACAAAGUUUAUAUUAGAGCAUCAUCCAUUAAUGCUUUGGCUAGGAGGGAGUCUAUCGCCCUGGUUGGAGUGCAGCAGUGUAAUCAUAGCUCACUGCUGCCAUGAACUUCUGGGCUUAAGCGAUCCUCCCACCUCAGCCUCCCUGUGUGCUGAGAUUAAAAGUGUGAGCCACCAUGCCUCAUCGUAAGGGUCUUCAAAGAAACCCUAUUUCAUAAGAACCGACUGCCGAGGAAAUUCAAAACACAUCCAUGAAAGCAGAAAAUUAUAAUGUGACAAGUGAAGAAUUGAAAUGGAUUCACCCUAAAAGCAGAGCCAAAUAUCAGCCAUUGUCAUGGGCCCCUAGGAGGACUGAGUCUGGUGAUGCACGAAUACCAGAAUGCAAGUGUGGUGCAAUGACAGCAAUAACACAUGUGUGCACCUUGAAGCCAGAGGGAUGGAAACCCCAGCCAAUGCCUCUUUCUCUUUUUCAGCCAUGUUUGCUUUCCAUAUGCUGGAUGAUGUGUAUGGAUUUUCAGUGUGUGUUUCAGAGUCUUAAAAGCUCAUGCUAGCUUGCUUAACAUACCUCUAUAACUCAUGAUAUAGAACCCUACGGAGAACUGUGUUGCAACAUGGAUGCAGUGCCUAUACUAAGGCACACUGCCAACCUGAAGACUGUCAGAGAGCAUCACUAACGGAGUGAUGGCAGCAGCAGCCCAUCCAGAAUGGCUGCUGCCAACAUGCCGGCUGCCGUGGGGAGGCACAGCCAGUCCUCCCACUCCACAGAGCAGGUAGGAGUCCUUUCCCUGGGCCCCAGGCCUCCUGCUCCAAGGGACAAGUGCGAGCCCUGCCCCUUCCGAAUUGGCAGGGCAGGAGCUCCUCAUGGGCAGCUGCAGCCACCCAAACCCGGCUGUGGACCUGGGCAUCUCUGUGCUCUUGUGGGGCUGGGAAGGCCUCCCUACCCCCCACUCCCCACAGACUCUGAAUUGCCUGGUCCCACUGUCUGGCCUGUCCCCACUCCUGGCACCCACUCAGAUCAUGGAGCAAGGUGGGAGCCUGCUGAGUGGGGCAUGCUUGGGUCAGCACUGACAUGUCAGCCCCACUCCCACCUUGGCCCCCUCCAGACAUUGGGUGCUGAUGAGCAUGGGGGGGGACUCAAAGCAGGGCUGAAGGCAGCUCAGUGCUGGCCUGCAGGUGCGCCUUGGUAUGAAUAGCCUGGGUGCCAUGAACAGCAGGAAAGGCAAACAGGCUCCUGGGCUGAAUGGGGUGGGUCCCCAGUGAAGCCCCACCCUCAAGCUGGGGAAGCCUUGAAGCCUGGGGGCCUGGCUGCCAGUCCCGUGGACUGAAGGGGGAACUGGUGGUGCUUUUUCCUGGGCCCACCCAUGGCUGCUGAUGGACCAGUCAGCACACACUUUCCCACUUCCCCACAAGACUGUAAAAACCCCAGACUCAGCCAGAGCAGAGCAGAUAUCUGGACCAGCAGCUACAGAGAGGAGCUGCCUUCUCCAGGGCCCCCUCUCUACUGAGAAAUGUGAACAAUUUGACAACCAGCAGCACAAAGGAGCUACCUUCCCUGCUGAGAGCUGAACAUUUGUCAGGACAAGCUAUCUGCAGAGAGGAACCACCCACUCCAGGCCUCCUCUUUGCUGAGAGCUGAACACUCAACAGGAUGACCAGCUGCAGAGAGGGGCCACUCACUCCAGGGCUUCCUCUCUGCUGAGAGCUGCAGAGAUGAUGGGAUUACCUGCCUACAGAGAGGAGCCACCCACUCCAGGCCUCCUCUCUGCUGAGAGCUGAACACUGACAGGAUGAUCUGCCUGUAGAGAGGAGCUAUCCACUAUGGGUCUCCUCUGAGCUUUUCUAACACUCAAUAAAGCUCCUCUUCAUCUUACUCACCCUCCACUUGUCUGCCUCAUUCUUCCUGGACACAGGACAAGAACUCGGGCCAAGGUGCCAUUGUCCACAGAUAUUUCUGGCCAGGAAAGCAACACCCCAAAGAUCCCAUAACAUUAGUAGAUCUUUUCCUCUUAGUAUGUUGAUAAUUGACUUGCUGGUUUCUAUAUCAAGUUCUUAAUGAUUUGAUUAAUAGGAGCCAGAUCCCCAGAGCUUGAUCCCUUCUAGAUGCAAUGACACACUGAGUUCAAAAGUUAAAGUGCUGGUGACCCCAUGGUGACACACUUUGGCCUUCCCUUGGUAGCCAAGGAGACUGAUGUUAAUGCUAUUUCAUUUUGUCCUAACUGAGCAUCAAGUAUUCUCAAAUUCAGUAAAGUGGUUUCUAAGCGAAGAGAAUGGAGUUUGAGAAAGACUAGGGUGGCGAAAAAUAGUGUUUAAUAAAAUCAGAUGCUAAGGGAAUAGAAACUGGGAUAAAAAAUAUUGGGUGAAAUGAAACAAAAAAAGGAUUUUAUUAUACUUUGUAGUUUAUUUUAUUUUAUUUUAUUUUUAUUUUUAUUUAUCUAUUUGAGACGUAGUCUUGCUCUGUUGCCCAGGCUGGAGUGCAGUGGCACGAUCUCAGAUCACUGCAACCUCCACCUCCCAGGUUCAAGUGAUUCACCUGCUUCAGCCUCCUGAGUAGCUGGGAUUACAGGCAUGUACCACCACACCCAGUUAAUUUUUGUAUUUUUGGUAGAGACAGGUUUCACCAUGUUGGCCAGGCUGGUCUUGAAUUCCUGACCUCAGAUGAUCCACCUGCCUUGACCUUUCAAAGUGUUGGGAUUACAGCCAUGAGUUACUGCACCCGGCAGUAUUCCUUAUAUUUUAAUAUUACAUAUUUAUAUUUUUCAGGUAAUAUACAAUGAAAAUUCAUUGCAAUUAGAGUGUUAAAAUAGUGUAUGUUAAGAAGAAAUAAAAUGCGGAUUUUUUUUUCUCCCCAGUCCUUAAUUAUCUCUAACCUUAUAUUUACACUGGUAUCUCUGAAUGAUUCAGAUAUAAUUAACAUUUACUGAGCAUACAGUGUUUGCAGGUAAUGUGGUAGUCAUUUUAUACACUAUAUAUCAUGGAAUUAUUUUGCCAAAACUAAUUGAUCAAUUCAUCAAUAAGUAUUUAGAAUGACUAUUUUCCUGUUAUCUUGAGACUGCUUUUAAAUGACCUCAAAAAGACUAAUUUAGGUCCCCUUCCCUCCCAACCUCCACAAAAUGGAAUAUCAAUUGUUAUUAUUUUAUUAGCAAUGCAAAACCAGUAAAAAGCUUGACUGGAUUUCUCAUUCUACAGGGGGAGUGACAGAGUGACUGGUGAAGCAUCUGGAUGCAAAACUGAAGGGGUCCAAGGAAAGCUCAGCUAUGGGGCAGUUUUCUUUUCCUAUCUAAAAAGGACUAACAGUUCUCUGUUAACCUUCUUUUGUGUCAAAUACAGGAAAUUAAUGAGGUUUUAAAAAUAUCUCCUGCAAGUUGAUCAGUGUCCUUUUAUUUUUUGUUUUUCUGAUUUUAUCCCUUCAUGAAUAUUGUUCCCUUUUGUUAUGCAGGCAACCAGCCUGAUGGGCUAGUUUUCCAGGUAAUCCAACUUUGCUCCACGGCUUUAAGACUGUUGAAUCAAGCUGGUUUCUUCCUUGCAUAUCUUCUUCUGUUUAGAAACCUUAUUCCUUGUUGGUGAUUUUGUCAGUUUUGUGCUUUGAUUGCUUUGUGUCAUAAAACCUUUUUAGAUAAAACUAUAUGUGUUGGGGAAGGAGACCAACAAAAAUAUAUUAUUCAAUUACCUUAAUCAAAUCUCUUUGGGUUAAUGAGUGUGACCUCAGUUAUGGCAAUUUUUAGAAAUGUAGCUUUUGAAUUGAAGUUCUUUUGAAAAAAAAAAAGACUACUUAUUAGGGGCAAAAAAACAAGGAAUAGUUGUGUUCUACUUUUGAAACACUGUCAGAUUUAAAUAGUACUGGUACAAUAGAAAUCUUGUGGCUUGGGAUUCAGAGAUCUGAGUUCCAGUUUUCGCUUUGCUCGUAAGUAAUAUUUAGGUGAUCAGGUAAACUCCUCUUAGUUUCUUUCUCUAAAAAGAUGGGAUUAAAUUAGAUGAUUUUUUAGGAUAUCUAGAAAUUCUAAGACUCUGUAAGGCACUGUGUUAUGACAAGGUCCUUUUAGACAUAAAUCAAAAUUAUUCUGAAAUUAUUAUUUCAUAUUUUAGAGGCAUCAGUAGGGCUUAUUAUAAAAUGAACUGGUAUGAAAUGACAUUAUUAUCUUUAUUUCACAUGCUGUAGAUAUAAAUACAUACUCUAAUGAGCUUCAAAUAGCAUUAAUUAAACUGUUUGAGAAGACACGCCCUCUAAUCUUUUUUGAAAACAAAGCUGCCCAGUAGAAAUAUGUGAGCCAUACAUGUAAUUUAUAUUUUCUAGUAGCCACAUUAAAAAGUAAAAAAAGUAAAAUUAAUUUUACUAUCAUAUUUUAGUUAAUCCGAUACAUCCAAAAUAUUAUUGCCUCAAUAGGUAAUCAGUUAAAAAUUAAUGAGUUAUUUUUCAUUCAUUUUCUUAAUAAAACAAUUUUAAAAUGUCUGGUGCAUAUUUUAUACUUACAGCAUACCUUAUUUUGGAUUAGCCACAUUCCAAGUGCUCUAUAGCCACACAUAGCUGGUGGCUACCAUAGUGGUCAGUGCUAAUCUAGAUAAAAUACUUUAUUCCAAUCAUAACUUUAAAACUGUGUACUAAAAGUAUGUGAGAAAAACUCUUCAUUCUUUGUAUUCAACUGAAUUCCAAUUAACCUUUUGAGAAGAUUGUGUUUGCCCAGGUUUUGACAACGUGGCCACUUUCACACAGUACAAACUGCAGGGAUGUCAAUCAUCUUUCAGAGAAUGUAGGUUGUGCAACGAAUCCCAAUUAUCCAGCAUCCAUGACAGAGGCUGUGAUGGCUUUGCCUGGAAUUUCAAAAAUGGUCUCAACUUGAAAGUGACAUAUUUCAUUGUGUUCAUUGAAAAACUGAUGCCUUAUCAGAAAACCUAUUUUUCUACUGCCUCUAGAAUACUGACCAUUGCAAACAGAUUUUUAAAGGUUUCAUAUAUACUGUGGACAGUUCUUUCAAAGCCCCAAAGCAGAGAAAAUUAGUCCAAAUUUGCUCUUUGUUGCAAACAUUUUGCACAACAUUGUGCUAUGUAUUUGAAUAGUGGUGUUACAUAGUAAAUUAGCUUUUUGAACUAAAACAUUUAAACAAACUUUCUGUGCUUUUGUUUUGGCUCCAUAUUUAUUUAUUGAAACUUAUUAUUUUUUAUUGAUAAACCAUAAUUGUCUACAUUUAUGAGGUACAGCAUGAUGUUUUGAUAUAUGUAUAUACACAAUGUGGCAUAAUUAAAUCAAGCUAGUUAACGUGCUUAUCACCUUGCUUACCUAUUAUCUUUAUAAGACAUUUAAAAUUUUCUGUUAUUUAAAAAUAUAUAUUAUUAUUGACUAUAGUCACCCUGCUGAGAAACAACUCUCAAAACGUAUUACUCUUGUUUAUCUGAAACUUCGUACCCUUUGAUUACCUGUCAUCAUUCCCUUUCUUCCUAACCCUCCCUACCUGCCACCCUAGCCUCUGCUAACCAUUGCUCUACUCUACUUCUAUGAGUUCAAUUUACUUUUUUAAAUUAAAUUAAAUUAAAUUUUAACUUCUGGGAGUGUUCAACUUUAUAAGAUUUCACAUACGGGUGAGACCAUGCAGUAUUUGUCUUUCUGUGCUUGACUUAUUUCACUUAGCUCCAUGUCCUCCAAAUUCAUCCGUGUCAUCACAAAUGACAGGAUUUCCCUCCUUUGUAGGACCGAAUAGUAUUCCGUCAUGUAUGUGUACCCACAUUUUCUUUAUCCAUUCAUCUACUGAUGGACAUUUGGGUUGUUUCCAUAUCUUGGCUAUUGUGAACAAUGCUGCAAUUAGCAUAGCAGUGCAGAUAUCCCUUUGACAUACUGAUUUCAGUUUCUUUGGAUAUAUACCCAGAAGUGAGAUUACUGGGUUGAAUCGUAAUUCUAUUUUUGGUUUUUCUGGGAAGCUCCAUACCCUGUUUUCAUAAAAGCUGUAUUAAUUUUUACUCUCACCAACAACAUAUAAAAGUUCAAUUUUUCUGCAUCCUCUUAAUGGUUAUCUUUCAUCUUUUUGAUAAAAGCCAUUAUAUCAGGUGUGAGGUAAUAUUUCAUUGUGGUUUUAAUUUAUAUUUUUCUAAUUAGUGAUGCUAAGCAUUUUUCCAUGUAGCUAUUAGCCGUUUGUAUGUCUUCUUUUGAAAAAUAUCUGGGCUGUUUUCUCAUUUUUAAGUUAUUUGUUUUCUUGUUUUAAGUUGUUUGAGUUUCUUAUGUAUUUUGGAUAGUAACCCCUUAUCAGAUGUAUAAUUUGCAAGUAUUUUCUCCUAUUCUGUGGGUUGUUUUUCACUUUGUUAAUUAUUUCUUUUGCUGUGCAGAAUAUUUUAGUUUGAAGCCAUCCCAUUUGUCUAUUUUUAUUUCAUUGCCUGUGCUUCAGGGGUGAUAUCCAAGAAAUGACUGUCUAGACCAAUGUCAUGAAGAUUUUCUUCUUUGUUUUCUUUUAGUAGUUUUACAGGUUCAGGUGUCUUCUAUGUAAGUCUUUAAUUCAUUUUGAGUUGAUUUUUGUAUGUGGUAUAAGAUAAGGGUCUAAUUUUAUUCUUCUGCAUGGGGAUAUCCAAUUUUCCCAACAACAAUUAUUGAAGAGAUGGUCCUUUCCCCAUUGUGUAUUCUUGGCAACUUUGUCAAAAAUCUGUUAGCCGUCAAAUGCACGGGUUUAUUUCUGGGUUUUCUAUCUUGCUCCAUUGAUCAAUGUAUCUGUUUUUAUGCAAGUACCAUGCAGCUUUGAUUACAAUCACUUUAUAAUAUGUUUUGAAAUCAAGGCAUGUGAUACUUCCAGCUCUGUUAUUUUUGCUCAAGAUUGUUUUGGCAAUUCCUAACUCAGUGCCCUGACCAACUGUAUUGAAAUCAUCUACAGUGCUGACCAUAAAUAUGGAUUUCUGGUUUCUUUCCUCACUCUCAAAUCAAGAUCUUUCAAGGUAGUUCUCAAUAUUUUAAUUUUUAGCAAAGCCCCCAUGUUAUUUUUCUAUAGUUAGGUGAAAGAACCCCCCCCCAUCUUUUGUUCCAUAGCUGAAAAAAUAGAAGAUGAAAUAAUUUAAACUAUUUGCCUCAUAUUCUAAAACUAGUAAAUAUCAGACCUAGAAUCAGAGCCUACCUAAGCUUUCUCUCUUAAUAAUGUUUCUGAAAUGACCCUGUGUCCAUUAAUAAUGUUCAACACCAUAUACUGAACUAAUUAAAGGAGAAAAAAGGACAUAUUUUAGACACAUUUUUAACAAUAAAGAUUUUUAAAAAUAGAGUCACUUGAAUUAAAUUUAAUCAGAUUAUCUUUCCACAGUUACUCUAUUUAAUCAAGCUUUUACUAUCAAACUUUGCAGUAGCAUUCUUCAGAGAACCUUGUAAGCAAGUUCUCUUAAGCACUUCUCUCGAAGGUAUAUGAGAUUUAAAUAAUGGAAGAAGAUACCCGUAUAUUUUUCCCCUGGUAGUUGAAAUCAUUUAGAUAGUUUUAUGUAAAUUUUAUGCAAAUGGAACACAUUUUAUGCCCCCAAACUUAUGGCGAUCAUAACUACUUUAUUCACCAAAAGUUGGCCUUCAGCAAGAUUCUACUGAGGACUGAUGAUCUAUGCAGUCUCCUUCUGCCUGGAUUUUUGUGACAUUUAUCAUCAUCCUACUUGGAUACUCAAAAGACUUGCAAUAUGUGAAUAUAGGACUGAAAUAAGACCCUGAUUUUCCUUCAACCAAGCCUGAACUACCUACCACAAGCACCUGGGGAUCAUUUUUUGUAGUUUCUUCUCUAGUUUCUUAGUACAAAUCAUCUUGAUUCAUUUACGUCAUAAAGUAAUAGAUAUUCAAAUUAUAAUUUUACUGAGUAAAAAGACAUACCCUGGUACGUAUGGAAAGUAUUACUAAAUUUUAUUAGUUUUUAAGAGUGACUGUUUGCCAAUAGCUAAAUUUAGAAAGACUAUGUUCCUAACAGUGCAGCUCUAGAGAAAAUUUUAAGGCGUGAUGAUUUCAUUAAUUUUCAGAGCAUUACAGCCAGCUGGCAAAGCCUUUUCUGUACCAUUGUGGCUUACUGCCUUUGAAAUUACUUUCUUUUCUUAAAUUAACCUGACUAUGUUAAAGUGACAAAAUAGCAAUAACGGUGUGAUAAAAUUGGCCUCUUUGUAUAAUCUUAAAGUAACUUAACUAACUUAAAUAAUAAUACCCUGAGUUUAUGACUACUGCAGUGUACUCCAUAAAAAGAAAUUGGUGUUAAGAACAUUUACAGAGCCCCAUAUUAGUUUUAUUGAUAGAUAAAUAACCUUUAAAAAUUUGAAUCAUAUGUAAAGUAGAAGGAGACUUCUAGCUCAAAAAGAAAUUCCCCAUUUAAACCCUCAGGACCUAGUUGUCUCACCUGUGGUGGUGGAAAGAGCACCAAGCUUGGAACCAGAGGGUCCAGGUUCGGGUCAUUGUCAUCGUGUGAGCAUGGGCAGGGCCACUGUCAUAAGGACGCCUGGAAGAGUGAAGAAAGGCCUGAUUGAUCACAAGGUCCUAUCAAAUGUCAAAGCUGGCCCUGGCUGACCUCCCAUCUAUUCAGAGCUGCUUUGAUUUAAUCUCCAAACUGGCUGCUUCUCCAGGCUGUGAGUUCUAUCUGCAACCCAUGUGUCAGCAUUGAGAUAUGACCUGCUUCACGCUCCAUUCAUCUCAUUUGAAGGACGGAAAUUAAACUCGAGGGUCGAAGAGGGGAACUGCUCAAAAUACACACACACAUUAACUGAAGCCUUUUGUAGAAGAGAAUUGAAAAUUUCAAGAAGGCAAAGGUGAUGGAAGUGUCUUCAUGAGACCCUUGGGUAACAUAAAUUGGCAAAGAAUUGGAUGAUCUGGGUUCUAAGAUCUGGCCUUAAAACUAGCCAUCUAUUGACUGAACAGAACAACAAUACCAAGUUUUCUGGAUGCCUCUCUGUCUCCAUCUGCUUUACCAUCUCCCCUUAAUUGAGGAAAAAUUUUUUUUAAGCAUCUAGCAUCCACUUGGAUUUGCAUUGACUGAUACAAGCAUGCGUUUUGCUGUGGUCAUGACUUUGACGAACUGUUCAGUGUGUAAGUACUGUCUUCCUGUACAUAAUUGUGCCCUUGACUCUGGUUUGUGGCUCCUUACUGCGUCAUAGUCUUACUUAGUCUCUUGAUUAUACAGUUAUAGCAAUUAUAUCCUUUUGUAAUUAAAAUCUUUGGUUGACUAUAUUAGUCUCAUCUUAAUGAUUCUUUCUAAAACAAAGGGAUAAUAAAUAAUCACUCUGAUACUAAUACUAUUAAUCACGUCUAUAUAUUAUUCUUAAGUUUUCUUCAAGAUCAGAUACUAUGACAUGAGUUAUAGAUAAUUUCCAUCAUCUUUCUUCUCCUUGCCAUGUGAAGAUCUAUGAUAAGCAGUAUUUUAAAAUGUGUGUGUGUAUUUGUGUGUAUAUUUAUAUGCAUAUGUUUUAAUUGAAUAGCUAUUAUUUGGUCUAAUGUUGUAGCCACGAGCAGAUUUUAUCUGUUAGAUGGACGAUGUUGGAUAGAUGAUUAUGUUUAUUAAAAGAUACUAAUAGUCACAGUCAUGAGCUAUUUCUUGAAGAGUUUCAUGCUCUAUAUUAAUUACAAUUUUUAUUUUGAAAUAAUUGCAGAUUCACAUACAAUUGUCUACCCUUUGCUCAAUUUCACCCAGUGGUAACAUUUCUCCGAGAUAUAAUACAAUAUUAUACCUAGGAUCUUGGUGUUGAUACAGUCAAGAUACAGAACAGUUUUAUCACCACAGAAAUCCCUCAUGCUGCUCUUUAUGUUUACAUCCACCUCUUUUCUGCCCUGCCCAUGCCCUGGCAACCACUAAUCUCUUCUUUUCUAUAAUUUUGUCCCUUCAAGAAUGUUAUGUAAAGGGAAUCAUAUAGUAUGUAGCCUUUUAGAUUUGGCUUUUUUUUUUUUUUUUCAUUCAGAGUAAUUCUGGAAAUUCGCCCAAAUUGUUACAUGUAUCAAUAGUUUGUUCCUUUUUAUUGCUGAGUAAUAAUCCAUGGCUGGAUAUGGUGGUUUGCUUAACCAUUCAAUCUUCGAAGGAUAUCUGAGUUAUUUCCAGUUUUAUGGCUACUAUGAAUAAAGUUACUGUGAAGAUUCAUGUGCAGAUUUAUAUUAAAAUAUACCUGGGGUUUUGUCUUUAUUCAGGUAUGAUGAGCCCAACAGAUCAGGAGACAUUGCCAUUAGAAAGUUUAUUAUUCAAAGUUCCCAAGAGGAGGGUAGAGUGUCAUUCCUCGCAGGACCAUACUAGAGAACAACAACAUCAGUUGCAGGCAAAGAGAGAGCAAGGGAAACUUCAGGAAAGCUUUUACUAUAGUUUUCUUGGAAGAAAUGGGUCAUUUGCUCUAAAGCAAAUGGGCUAAGCAAGUUUAGAACUCUUGGCUAAUAUGAAUAAUUUCAGUAUGCUUCAGGGUGUUGAAGCUGGCUGAUGCUUGGUCUUGGGGUGAUUAGGGCAGGUGAAUAGUGUCUUACAAGAGUAAGAACCCCUGAAAGAACAGGCAGGUCAGGGGUGUGGAUUUUGGAUCGGUUUGUUUACAUAUUGAUAUGGUUUGGCUUUGUGUUCCCACCCAAAUCUCAUCUCAAAUUAUAAUCCCCACAAGUUGAGGGUGGGUCUGGGUGGGAGGUGAUUGGAUCAUGGGGGUGAUUUCUCCCAUGCUAUUCUUGUGAUAGCGAGUGAAUUGUCACGAGAUCUGAUGGUUUUAAAGUGUGGUACUUGCAUUGUUCACUCUCUCUCUCCUUCCACUGUGUAAGAAGUGCCUUGCUUCCUUUUCACUUUCCACCAUGAUUGUAAGUUUCCUGAGGCCUCCCCAGCCAUGCGGAACUGUGAGUCAAACCUCUUUCCUUUGUAAAUUACCUAGUCUCAGAUAUUCUUUAUAGCAGCGUGAAAUGGGCUGAUACAGACAAUAGCAGCGUGAAAAUGGACUAACACACAUAUGAAAGGUACACUCUAAUGAGAGUCAAAAAGCCUUCUGCUAACUCUAGGAAUUCCAACUGUUAAACCUGUGGGAGGGGCAGUCCCUUCCUACUAACAAGGCCUAAGAUGUCAAAACAUCAGAUACAGAAACUUGAAAACACAGAUAAUACAAGUUUUUUGUGUGAACUUAAGUUUUCAGUUCUCUGGGAUAAAUGCCCAGGAGUGCAAUUUCUGGGUCAUAUGGUAAUUUCAUGAUUAGUUUUAUAGGAAAAUGCCAAACAAUUUUCCAGAGUGGUUGAACAAUUUCCCAUUACCACCAGAAAUGUCUAGGUGAUUCUGUUUCUCUAAUUCUGUAGAUUUAUAAAGUGUGCGGGAGGGAAUAAAGGGGUUAUUUGGAUUAUUAACACUUCAGGCAUUUAGGUAAACCAUGACAAUGAUUUUUUAUUUAGCAAGUACUAUCUGUAGUACACCGAACUGGGAACUGUGAAAGAUCCAAAGGUGAAGAGGUAGAUAAUUUUGCUCAAGGAGCCUCCAGUCCCUCAGUGGAAGCAGGCCUGUAAAUGUUGAACAAAAAAUAAUAAAAAUGGGUGGUACAUGUACAUUCAACCAGUCUGCAGUGUAGGCACAGUGGAAAUGCUAAGUAUUUGAAAUAAUGGAUAUGCUAAUUAGCUUGAUUCAAUCAUGCUGCAUUGUAUACAUAUAUCACAGUAUCACUUUUUACCUCAUAAAUAGAUAUAAUUUAUUAAACUCAAUACAAUUUAAAAAACAAGUAAAGUUUAAGAAUUCUGAGGGUGUGGCUGGUGAGGCCUGAUGUAGGUAGUAAUCUCUGAGCAGUGUCUGAAGAAUAAAUAUAAUUUUAAAAGUAAAGAAAAAAAGUGCAAAAGGCAUUUAACAUUCAAAAUAUUUUGUGUGCUGGGUGCACUAGGGGUAUUCUGAUGGGAUUAGAGCCCUAGCACAGUGGGGAGAUGGAUGGAGCAAUGAAAGUGAGAAACAGAAUUGAAGAAAGAUCAUGAGUAAACUGGAAUGACCUGUGAAGAAGCUAGACUUGGUUUGGUAGCUGAUGUGAAGUCACUGAAUUUGGAGAAGAUGAAUACCAGUUGGCCUGCAUUUUAAGAUAUUGACGAAGUUCCCUGAAAACAGUCAAGAUCAAAGGUGAAGAGAACUGAGGGGAAGCUAUUGUGGUAGUUUAGGUGAAAGAUGCUGAGAGCAUGAGCUCAUUGCAGAGCCUUUAAAAUGUCAUUGUGCUAUUUUCUUUAAUUAAGUCAACUACAAAAAAAUGCAUGUUCCUUGCAAGCACAUCAGAAAACAAUGCAAAAAAAUAAACAGAAAUCACCCUUGAUCACCACAGCAAACAUUUUGAAAUAUUUUAAUAAAAAUGUUUGUAAUCUUUUUAGCUAUACUGCCAUGAGUGCGUGUAUGUAUAAUUUUAAGCAUAUACCAGUGACAGCAUAUAUAAUGUUUAUGUCAUAUUUAUAACAUUUUUUCAUCAACAGUGUAUUAUAACAUCUUUUAGUAUAUAAGUGUAUUUAUUCACUAUCACCUAAAUUAUUCUCAUUGUAUGGAAACACUGUAACUAAAUCAACUCCUCCCCACCGCAGGAUAUUUAAGUGGUUUUGUUUAAUUUUGUUGGACUAUUUUACUAUUUCUAGCUUUUUAUUUACAUUCAGAACCUUAUUUGCAGACUUGGAAUAAGAAAUAAGAUUCUCUAUCUGUGGUUCUGUCUCUUGCCCAUGCUCAUGGAAGAUGAAGUUGGGGCUCCGCAGACAUCCUGAGAUGCACACAUUUUGUGCUGGCAUUGCACAUUGAGUGGCCUUGCCUCACCCCUCCAGCACUGAAAAUAGUAUGGCUUACGUUGAAUUAGAGACCAAUAUGCUUAUGAUUCUCUAGCUGCUGCAAUUUCUACUCAAGCUCUUUUAUCUCAUGUCGAGUUCCCAAAACUAGACUGUGCAUCAAAUUAUCCACAGAUCUUUUUACAAAUGAAAUGCUGAGGACCCACCAUAAAAGACUGUGAAUCAGUUGAUCUGGAGUCAGGUCAGGGAACUGUAUUUUUUACUCUUCCCUAGGGAAUUUGACCAUUCAGCCAAGGUGAAAACCAUGGUGCUAGACCUUUCUUUCCUCUCUUUUACUGAUAUAACUGUCUCCACUGACUAUGAGUUUGCCUACGUGGUGACAGAACAAUUUAAGCUAAGAUGGGGCUCAGUGAUGGCGGCUUGAUGUGUUCCUUUCUGGGAAGUUCAAUGUUUUCAACCAAAAGGGAGCCAAACUCAUGCAAACCAGUGACACAUUAGGAGCAGGAAUAGUUUUAGAAAGAGAGUUUCUUUAAAAAAAAUUUUUUAAUCUGAGACUGGGCUCCUAGGGGAUAUCCUACCAAGUGUGGAUCUUUUGCUUUUCCAAAGUAUUUCCUGAUCUUUCUGAUUGGGUGAUGAAACUUUUUGACACCCUUACUAAAAAGGAUGAAAAUAGGCUGGGUGCGGUGGCUCACGCCUGUAAUCCCAGCACUUUGGGAGGCCGAGGCGGGUGGAUCACGAGGUCAGGAGAUCGAGACCAUCCUGGCUAACAUGGUGAAACACGGUCUCUACUAAAAACACACACACACACAAAAAUUAGCCAGUCGUGGUGGCGGGCGCCUGUAGUCCCAGCUACUCGGGAGGCUGAGGCAGGAGAAUGGCCUGAACCUGGGAGGCGGAGCUUGCAGUGAGCUAAGAUUGCGCCACUGCACUCCAGCCUGGGGGACAGAGCGAGACUCUGUCUCAAAAGAAAAAAAAAAAAAGGAAAAUAUGGACAUUGGGGUGUACAUGACUAUCUCAUUUCUGAGCCCAUAUUUUAUGCAGGUGGUUGGAUACUGCGAUUACAUGAAAGACAAAUGGAAGCAUCUCAGAGUAGGGACAGAAGGACACAGAAGAGAGGCUUAUGUUGUUGAGGACAAAUUUUGUUCAUUGGGUUCUUUUCCUUGAGGUGGCCUCUCAAAUGCUACCCAAAGAACGUUGACCUGAGGAUGACAUGAGGAAGUCUGCAGAAGUACAGCUUUAGGCCAUUAACACAGGCUAAGCCAUCACUGCACAGUGGACAGAGCCCCUAGGUGGAUUCCCUCCUCUCAUGGCUGGCUCUUUCUGUCAUCACUGCCAGCUCAAAGUAGAGAUGCAUCCUCCUCACUCAUGCCUGUUGUCCAUGUUCCCUGUUAGAACUAAGAUAUUCUGCAGAUAUUUCUGUAAUCGAUCUUGCUGCAUUGCAGUCCUGUGCUGCCCUGACCUCCAGCUCUGCCUUCCUCCUUGGAUCUCUGAAAGUGUAACCUAGGUCUCCUCCCUGUUUCUGGUUUCACUUGCCUGAAACACAUCCCCUUCUUGGUGGACCAGAAUCAGCUCCAAUAUUUCUUUAAUUCCAUUACAGGGGCUGAGGUAUCCUCCUGGCUGCAAAGAGGAUAACAGAGUUUGCAGCUCCAGUCACCAGUUCUCUAUAAACCUCAAGAAAUUGCUUGGCCCGGGUUAAUUUUCCCCAUCUUUAGAGAAAAAUACUACCAUGUUACCAACACUUACUGAUACACUGAAAGCAUCAGAUUAAAAUAAAAUGGUUAGCUGCACUUUAAAGAAUGGAAAAGAUCUGUAGCAUCAAUAUUAAUCUUGCAAAAUCUGUGUGUCAAUAAUAUGGCAUAAAAAACAAAGUUAUUGCAAAAAAUGAUAUUUUUACAAAAAAGGAUCAAUAUGACCUGCCUGGAAAAUCAACACUGUGACUUCUCAUCAUUUAUAAUGUAUUAGCUAAAAGGUCUAAACCAUCUCAAUCAGGAGACAUGCUUUGAAUUUUCUACAUGAGGAUCUGGAAUGAUAUAAUAAUAGCAACAUUCAUUACCUACCAUGCGUGAGUAUUAUGCUUAAAUCACUCUCGUUCGAUUCUAUGGCAUCCCUGGAAGGGAAUUGGUAUCGUUCCUUGUUUUGCAGAUGACGUAUCUCAGAGAGAACCUCUACUCAAAAUCAACACUAAUUAGAUGUUUCUGCAGGGCCUAUGGGUUUUCCCAGCACACCACAGGUUCUCUCUGGUUCACUCGUGUACAAAGUCCCAGAAUUCUCAAAGCUUGCACCCAGUGUGGCUGCAGUGGUAUUGCUUUCUUCCAAUUCUCCUCUUUUACUUUGUUUUGUGUGAGGGAGACUAGUAGGUAAUGUUUGAUGCAGGUCAAUCAACUCCUGUCGACCUGAUCAUAUGGCUGUUGGUGGGGGUUGAAAAGGUAGAUUCAGGGUUUAA